rnacentral:rRNA from 1 species
UACAGAGGGUGCGAGCGUUAAUCGGAAUUACUGGGCGUAAAGCGCGCGUAGGCGGCUUUGCAAGUCGGGUGUGAAAUCCCCAGGCUUAACCUGGGAACUGCAUUCGAGACUGCAUUGCUAGAGUAUGGGAGAGGGAAGUGGAAUUUCCGGUGUAGCGGUGAAAUGCGUAGAUAUCGGGAGGAACACCGGUGGCGAAGGCGGCGACCUGGGUAGAUACUGACGCUGAGGUGCGAAAGCGUGGGGAGCAAACAGG